GACGAACGCUGGCGGCGUGCUAAUACAUGCAAGUCGAGCGAAUCAAUGGGAGCUUGCUCCUGAGAUUAGCGGCGGACGGGUGAGUAACACGUGGGUAACCUGCCUGUAAGACUGGGAUAACUUCGGGAAACCGGAGCUAAUACCGGAUAAUUUCUUUUCUCGCAUGAGAAGAGAUGGAAAGAUGGUUCUGCUAUCACUUACAGAUGGACCCGCGGCGCAUUAGCUAGUUGGUGAGGUAAUGGCUCACCAAGGCCACGAUGCGUAGCCGACCUGAGAGGGUGAUCGGCCACACUGGGACUGAGACACGGCCCAGACUCCUACGGGAGGCAGCAGUAGGGAAUCUUCCGCAAUGGACGAAAGUCUGACGGAGCAACGCCGCGUGAGCGAAGAAGGCCUUCGGGUCGUAAAGCUCUGUUGUUAGGGAAGAACAAGUACGAGAGUAACUGCUCGUACCUUGACGGUACCUAACCAGAAAGCCACGGCUAACUACGUGCCAGCAGCCGCGGUAAUACGUAGGUGGCAAGCGUUGUCCGGAAUUAUUGGGCGUAAAGCGCGCGCAGGCGGUUUCUUAAGUCUGAUGUGAGAGCCACGGCUCAACCGUGGAGGGUCAUUGGAAACUGGGGAACUUGAGUGCAGAAGAGAAAAGCGGAAUUCCACGUGUAGCGGUGAAAUGCGUAGAGAUGUGGAGGAACACCAGUGGCGAAGGCGGCUUUUUGGUCUGUAACUGACGCUGAGGCGCGAAAGCGUGGGGAGCAAACAGGAUUAGAUACCCUGGUAGUCCACGCCGUAAACGAUGAGUGCUAAGUGUUAGAGGGUUUCCGCCCUUUAGUGCUGCAGCUAACGCAUUAAGCACUCCGCCUGGGGAGUACGGUCGCAAGACUGAA
rnacentral:rRNA from 1 species